AUCUUUAUUUGGUAGGGGGAAUACCAUAAUCAAGAAGUUGGUUUCUUUAGGUUAAGGGCCUUUUAUUGUACUCUUCAUAUUUGUUGAUUUCUGUGUUUUUAUAAGUGUGCGAAGGUCAACUGUGUAAUUUAUGGUAGUGGGGGACUGCAUUUGUGCAGCUCCCAG